rnacentral:tRNA from 1 species
GCCUACUUAACUCGGUGGUUCGAGUAUUGCUUUCAUAUGGUGGGAGUCAUAGGUUCAAAUCCAAUAGUAGGUA